rnacentral:rRNA from 1 species
GACGAACGCUGGCGGCGUGCUUAACACAUGCAAGUCGAACGGAAAGGCCCUGCUUUUGUGGGGUGCUCGAGUGGCGAACGGGUGAGUAACACGUGAGUAACCUGCCCUUGACUUUGGGAUAACUUCAGGAAACUGGGGCUAAUACCGGAUAGGAGCUCCUGCUGCAUGGUGGGGGUUGGAAAGUUUCGGCGGUUGGGGAUGGACUCGCGGCUUAUCAGCUUGUUGGUGGGGUAGUGGCUUACCAAGGCUUUGACGGGUAGCCGGCCUGAGAGGGUGACCGGCCACAUUGGGACUGAGGUAGGGCCCAGACGCCUACGGGAGGCAGCAGGGGGGAAUAUUGCACAAUGGGCGGAAGUCUGAUGCAGCAACGCCGCGUGAGGGAUGACGGCUUUGGGGUUGGAAAGCGCUUUCGCCUGUGACGAAGCGUGAGUGACGGUAAUGGGUAAAGAAGCACCGGCUAACUACGUG